UACGUAGGGGGCAAGCGUUGUCCGGAUUUACUGGGCGUAAAGCGCGUGUAGGCGGCUGGCCAAGCGUGGUGUGAAAUCUCCGGGCUCAACCCGGAAACUGCAUUGCGAACUGACCUAGCUGGAGUGCAGGAGAGGGCAGCGGAAUUCCCGGUGUAGCGGUGAAAUGCGUAGAUAUCGGGAAGAACACCAGUGGCGAAGGCGGCUGCCUGGCCUGUAACUGACGCUGAGACGCGAAAGCGUGGGGAGCGAACCGG
rnacentral:rRNA from 1 species